rnacentral:tRNA from 1 species
UCCCUGAUGGUCUAUAAGUUAGGAUUUGGCACUUUCACUGCUGUGGCCAAGGUCCAAUUCCUGAUCUGGGAA